rnacentral:lncRNA from 1 species
ACCCCCCAAGGCUAUAGCCCACCCGUAUUUGUGGCCUUUUUCCGCUGGACGAACUUGCGCGCCAGCCGUCGGGGGGUUAUUUUUGGGCGCAGCUUUGCCCGCGGCCUAUUUUUGGCACACGGAGGCCCCUCGCAAAUUCUCGCGGCAUUCCGAGUCCGGCGGAUGAAGUUGGCCAGCCCCACCCCCCAAGGCUAUAGCCCACCCGUAUUUGUGGCCUUUUUCCGCGGGACGAACUUGGCGCGCCAGCCGUCGGGGGGUUAUUUUUGGGCGCAGCUUUGUCCGCGGCCUAGUUUUGGCACACGGAGGCCCCUCGCAAAGUCUCGCGGUAUUCCGAGUCCGGCGGACGAAGUUGGCCAGCCCCACCCCCCAAGGCUAUAGCCCACCCGUUUUUGCGGCCUUUUUGCGCUGGACGAACAUGGCGCCCCGGCCUUUGGACGGUUAUUUUUGGGCGCCGCUUUGCCCGCGGCCUAUUUUUGGCACACGGAGGCCCCUCGCAAAUUCUCGCGGCAUUCCGAGUCCGGCGGGCGAAGUUGGCCAGCCCCACCCCCCAAGGCUAUAGCCCACCCGUAUUUGUGGCCUUUUUCCGCGGGACGAAAUUGGCGCGCCAGCCGUCGGGGGGUUAUUUUUGGGCGCAGCUUUGUCCGCGGCCUAGUUUUGGCACACGGAGGCCCCUCGCAAAGUCUCGCGGUAUUCCGAGUCCGGCGGACGAAGUUGGCCAGCCCCACCCCCCAAGGCUAUAGCCCACCCGUUUUUGUGGCCUUUUUGCGCGGGACGAACUUGGCGCCCCGGCCUUCGGGCGGUUAUUUUUGGGCGCGGCUUUGCCCGCGGCCUAUGUUUGCCACCCGGAGGCCCCUCGUAAAGUCUCGCGGCAGUCCGAGUCCGGUGGACGAAGUGGGCCGGCCCCACCCCCCAAGGCUAUAGCCCACCCGUUUUUGUGGCCUUUUUCCGCUGGACGAACUUGGCGCCCCAGCCUUCGGGGGGUUAUUUUUGGGCGCGGCUUUGCCCGCGGCCUAGUUUUGGCACACGGAGGCCGCUCGCAAAGUCUCGCGGCAUUCCGAGUCCGGCUGACGAAGUUGGCCAGCCCCACCCCCCAAGGCUAUAGCCCACCCGUUUUUGUGGCCUUUUUGCGCGGGACGAACUUGGCGCCCCGGCGUUCGGGCGGUUAUUUUUGGGCGCGGCUUUGCCCGCGGCCUAUGUUUGCCACCCGGAGGCCCCUUGUAAAGUCUCGCGGCAGUCCGAGUCCGGUGGACGAAGUUGGCCGGCCCCACCCCCCAAGGCUAUAGCCCACCCGUUUUUGUGGCCUUUUUCCGCUGGACGAACUUGGCGCCCCAGCCUUCGGGGGGUUAUUUUUGGGCGCGGCUUUGCCCGCGGCCUAUUUUUGGCACACGGAGGCCCCUCGCAAAGUCUCGCGGCAUUCCGAGUCCGGCGGACGAAGUUGGCCAGCCCCACCCCCCAAGGCUAUAGCCCACCCGUUUUUGUGGCCUUUUUGCGCGGGACGAACUUGGCGCCCCGGUCUUCGGGCAGUUAUUUUUUGGCGCAGCUUUGCCCGCGGCCUAUGUUUGCCACCCAGAGUCCCCUCGCAAAGUCUCGCGGCAUUCCGAGUCCGGCGGACAAAGUUGGCCAGCCCCACCCCCCAUGGCGAUAGCCCACCCGUUUUUGUGGCCUUUUUCCGCUGGACGAACUGGGCGCCCCAGCCUUCGGGGGGUUAUUUUUGGGCGCGGCUUUACCCGCGGCCUAGUUUUGGCACACGGAGGCCCCUCGAAAAGUCUCGCGGCAUUCCGAUUCCGGCGGACGAAGUUGGCCAGCCCAACCCCCCAAGGCUAUAGCCCACCCGUUUUUGUGGCCUUUUUUCGCUGGACGAACUUGGCGCCCCGGCCUUCGGACGGCUAUUUUUUGGCGCGGCUUUGCCCGCGGCCUAAUUUUGGCACACGGAGGCCCCUCGCAAAGUCUCGCUGCAUUCCGAGUCCGGCGGACGAAGUUGGCCAGCCCCACCCCCCAAGGCUAUAGCCCACCCGUUUUUGUGGCCUUUUUCCGCUGGACGAACUUGGCGCCCCAGCCUUCGGGGGGUUAUUUUUGGGCGCGGCUUUGCCCGCGGCCUAGUUUUGGCACACGGAGGCCCCUCGCAAAGUCUCGCGGCAUUCCGAGUCCGGCUGACGAAGUUGGCCAGCCCCACCCCCCAAGGCUAUAGCCCACCCGUUUUUGUGGCCUUU